rnacentral:lncRNA from 1 species
CGCUCACGUUGCGGCAGAAGUCCACGUGCAAUGUCUGCAGCGCGCGCCCGUCCGCCGCCACGGCAGCCAACGUGCGGUUGGUGACGCGCGCGCAGUUCUCCAGGCGCAGUGCGCGCAGGCGUGGGCAGCAGCGCAGCAGGCGCGCCAGGCAGUCGUCGGUAACGUGGCCGCAGCCCGAGAGCGUGACGGACGCCAGGUUGGGGCACCUGUGAGGAGAGUGCGGUGACCCGGGGCUCACUGGCUUGUUAAAGCUACCCAACCGCCCCAUGGGACCGAGUGGACUCAUUUACCGAGGAGGACUCGGGCCCUGCGAGGUCACUUCAUCCUGGCCCAGGUACUGCAGCUCCAAAUCGUGGGGAUUCUGUAAGAGCUUGCUACCUGUUGACUGAGGAGGCCCACGAGUUGAGCAAAAAGAAUGAUUCCUCAGCAGUCAUUGUGAAAUUUUGUGGGCCACAAGUAUUGUGCACACAUGAUCCUUGAUUUAGAGUCAACCUGAUGUCCAUUAUAGCUGUGGAAAGGCAGCAGGCAGUUGUGUCGCUCUUCACAAUAAGGAACACAUCUUGCUUUCAGCAUGUGAGAGGAACAAAAGCAUUGAUGUAAAUGUGCCUCAAAGUGAGAACUGAAAACAUUAACAUAAAAUAAAAAAG